ACGGGAGGCAGCAGUAGGGAAUAUUGCACAAUGGGGGAAACCCUGAUGUAGCGACGCCGCGUGAGUGAUGAAGUAUUUCGGUAUGUAAAGCUCUAUCAGCAGGGAAGAUAAUGACGGUACCUGACUAAGAAGCCCCGGCUAACUACGUGCCAGCAGCCGCGGUAAUACGUAGGGGGCAAGCGUUAUCCGGAUUUACUGGGUGUAAAGGGAGUGUAGGUGGUUUGGCAAGCCAGAUGUGAAAGCCCGGGGCUCAACCCCGCGGACUGCAUUUGGAACUGUUAAACUUGAGUGCAGGAGAGGAAAGUGGAAUUCCUAGUGUAGCGGUGAAAUGCGUAGAUAUUAGGAGGAACACCAGUGGCGAAGGCGGCUUACUGGACUGUAACUGACGUUGAGGCUCGAAAGCGUGGGGAGCAAACAGGAUUAGAUACCCUGGUA
rnacentral:rRNA from 1 species